GUAGGUGGCAAGCGUUGUCCGGAAUUAUUGGGCGUAAAGCGCGCGCAGGCGGUCCUUUAAGUCUGAUGUGAAAGCCCACGGCUCAACCGUGGAGGGUCAUUGGAAACUGGGGGACUUGAGUGCAGAAGAGAAGAGUGGAAUUCCACGUGUAGCGGUGAAAUGCGUAGAGAUGUGGAGGAACACCAGUGGCGAAGGCGACUCUUUGGUCUGUAACUGACGCUGAGGCGCGAAAGCGUGGGGAGCAAACAGGAUUAGAUACCCUGGUAGUCCACGCCGUAAACGAUGAGUGCUAAGUGUUAGAGGGUUUUCCGCCCUUUAGUGCUGCAGCAAACGCAUUAAGCACUCCGCCUGGGAGUACGGCCGCAAGGCUG
rnacentral:rRNA from 1 species